rnacentral:lncRNA from 1 species
UCGCUCACUCGCUCCCGGUGCGCGCCGCCCGCUGCCUAGCUCUGGGCUGCCCGCAGCUCCGGCUUCUGGCCCGACGCUCCGGCGCGUCUCGGGCUCCGGACAACAGGACCUCGACUGGCUGGCUGAGCCCGGGGCGAACCGCGAAGCAGGGUCCCAGGCAGGAGGAGGCAAGUCCUGGUUUGGUUGAUGGGUGCUGUCCUGGGACACCUUCACCUUUUCCCAGCAUCUGCUUCCAGGAGCCAUGAUCACCAUGAAGUCUAUAGCUGGUGUUUGAGCACCUAUGAACUGCAGGUGCCCUGGAGGUGGCUCUGUGCACCCCCCUACCUCUGCCCCGGCACCCCCGCCAGGGCCCAGGAUGGCACUCUUGGUGGCAGGGCUCGUUGUCUGCUCCCUCCUGCAAACCAUCUUCUCCCUGAACCCCGAGGACCCCAACGUGUGCAGCCACUGGGAA